rnacentral:misc_RNA from 1 species
GUUGGCGUCCUGCCUGUGAUGGGUGGGGUUGAGGGCAUGCUGUUGGGUUGUGGGGUAUCACAUGUGUGGUGGCCUGUGCGGUGCUGUGUUGCGUGCGUGUGUGCGUGGUGUGGUGUUCGUGUGGUGGUUGAGAACUGUAUAGUGGAUGCGAGUAUCUUUAUUGUUGUAUGUGUUUGUGCGACGUGGUGUUGUGCAAAGUUGUGUAGUGCGAUCGGUGGAUGCCUUGGCACCAAGAGCCGAUGAAGGACGUUGUGACCUGCGAUAAACCCUGGGGAGUUGGUGAGCCAGCUGUGAUCCGGGGGUGUCCGAAUGGGGUGAUGUUCCUGACAUAGUCUGACUCGGGGAACUGUUCUCCAAGUGGAUCUCCGCACGGACGCCCGACACGUCGGUCCAUACUGCCAGUGGACCACUCCUGGCUGCCCGACUGGCCUGGAUGCCAACUAGUGUGUCUUGGAGUCAUGCCUUGACCAAGGUUGAGCAUGAUUUCGCUCGAUGUAU